AUGCUAGCCGUCGUCACCUCCACCCGCUCUCCUCUACCCCGCUUUAUCUUCCGUCUUGUUUGGCCGUUCCAUCCCCUGCUCCACGUCCACAGGUGUCGCGGAGUCUCAGUGACCGAGGCCGUCGGGUACGCGGUGAUGGCAUAUGCGCGCAUGCUGGCUAGGGCGGAGGCCCUGAUUGCCGCUGGAGUGUGCCUUGUGGACACGGCGGCCUCCGUCGCCGCUACCUCCGACAUGGUCUUCACGGUGGUCGACGAUCUCCGGAAGAUCAUGGUCGGCAACCUCGACGACGUCCGUGCCGUCGUCGGCUGUGCCAUGGCAGACCGCCCACAAGAAGGUGCCCGGAGGGAGGUGCAUGCAGAAUUGCAGACUAUGGCGGCGGUCAUGAACGCCACAAUGGUGUGUGGGCACGUGAGUUUCAUUGGGCUGUUGUUGCCAGACACCACCGGCAUCGACGAUCCUUGGAAGGCUUGCAGCAUAUGA
rnacentral:rRNA from 1 species